rnacentral:rRNA from 1 species
AGAAUGAACGUUGGCGGCGUGGAUUAGGCAUGCAAGUCGUACGGGCCGCAAGGCCAGUGGCGCAAGGGUGAGUAAGGCGACGGUAACCAACCCCAUGACUGGGUAUAGCCGCGGGAAACUGCGGGUAAUCCCCAGCGACGUCCCGGGGGGGCAUCCCCUGGGGACCAAAGCUCCGGCGUCGUGGGACGGGCCGUCGUGGUAUUAGGUUGUUGGCGGGGUAAUGGCCCACCAAGCCUGCGAUGCCUACCGGGCGUGCGAGCGUGGCCCGGCACACUGGGACUGAGACACUGCCCAGACUCCUACGGGAGGCUGCAGUCGAGAAUCUUCGGCAAUGGGCGCAAGCCUGACCGAGCGACGCCGCGUGGAGGAUGAAGGCCUUCGGGUUGUAACUCCUGUCGAGGGGAGAAGGGUCGCAAGACCUUGACUUAUCCCUGGAGGAAGCACGGGCUAAGUUCGUGCCAGCAGCCGC